UCUGAGUCCUGGGGGGUCCUGGGGGGUCCUGGGGGCUCCAGGAUGCCUGGUCUGUGCUUGGAGGGGUUUGUUGCUUGGGACUCAGCCCGCUCUCGGGUGUCUGUCCCCCAGUAAAUUCUGGGAGGGUUCUCUGCAAAGGCAGGUAGGUUAGCUCUGUACAAUGCAUCUUCCUGUGUGCCCAGCCUUGGGUUGUCCCAUUAGACGUGCAUUGUGUUCUUUUUAAUUUCUCACACUAAGCCUCUGAGAUUGGUACUAUAACAUUCCCAUUUUACAGUCGAGGAAACUGAGGCUCAGAGAACAGCACUCAUUGGCCCCAGGCUCUGAGCUCACCCACGCUGAGGCCUGGCUUCCCUGCGCCCUAAGUGCGCAUGUUAGGGCUCACCUGGGUAGGGCAGGCAGGGGUGGGCGAACCUUCUUCGUACUUGAUAGACAGCAGGUACUAGUUCUCCUGAACUCUUUUACAUUCUUCAGAAACCCACACAAUGAGGAAGGUCUUUUGUUUCUUUUCCCAAUUAUUUUUUUCUACUCACAGAAGUACCAGAUUUGAGUACCAAACAUGGAAAUCAUAAAGUAUUUGUCCAUUUUGUGACAUUUUAUAUCACUUUAUAAUACAUGAUACAUCAUGUAUCUUAAAGACUGGUCAGCAGUUUUUUGUUUUUUGUUUUUUUUGACUGUGGCUGGUGACUUGUGGGAUCUCAGUUUCUCGACCAGGGAUUGAACCCACGUCACCACAGUGAAAGCUUGGAAUCCUAACCACUAGGCCACCAGGGAACACCCAGCGUCUUUUAUUAUUACUUAAUAUUUCUUGGACAUCUUCUGGGUCACUGUGUACAGAUAUGAGGUACAGUUGAAGCCUCUUCCCCAAUCUCAUUUUCUUCCGUCUCUAGAUGAAAUUCUCAGCUUGAUUUUGGGGCUCUCCUUGCACUUGGUAAAGAAUUUGCCUGCAAUGCAGGAGCUUCAGGAGAUGCAGGUUCGAUUCCUGGGUCAGGAAGAUCCUCUGGAGGAGGAAAUGGCAACUCACUCCAGGAUUCUUGGCUGGGAAAUCGCACGAGCAGAGGAGCCUUAGAAGGCUGCAGUCCAUGGGGUCGCAAAAAGCUGGGCAUGACUUACGGCUAAACAACAACAUGCAUGUUUCUGAUACCUUUGCCGCACUUGGGUAUAUACAUUGCAGAAAACCUUAGAUACUGUGUGUAUUCUAUAGCUUCUUUUGGGGUUCGACAUUGUUUUGGGAAGGAAAUGACAACCCACUCCAGUAUUCUUGCCUGGAAAAUCCCAUGCAUUGGAGGAGACUUGUGAGCUACAGUCCAUGGGGUCUCAAAGAGUUGGCCUUGACUAAGACUCUUGAGAGUCCCUUGGACUGCAAGAAGAUCCAACCAAUCCAUCCUAAAGGAGAUCAGUCCUGGGUGUUCAUUGGAAGGACUGAUGCUGAAGCUGAAACUCUAAUACUUUGGCUACCUCAUGCGAAGAGUUGACUCGUUGGAAAAGACCCUGAUGCUGGGAGGGAUUGGGGGCAGGAGGAGAAGGGGACAACAGAGGAUGAGAUGGCUGGAUGGCGUCACCGACUCGAUGGACAUGAGUUGGAGUAAACUCUGGGAGUUGGUGAUAGACAGGGAGGCCUGGCGUGCUGCGAUUCAUGGGGUCGCAAAGAGUCGGACACGACUGAGCGACUGAACUGAACUGAAGCGACUUCACUUUUAACUUUUUUUUUCAUGUUGAUACAUGUUGAUACUUUUAUUGCUUUAGCAUUUCACUGUAUUCUCAGAGUAAUUCGUCCUUUCUCCUGUUGUUGGAUAUCUAGGUUUUUGACUUUUUGCUAUCAGGAACAACUCUGGAGUGAUCAUUUUUGUCUAUGGCUUCACACAUACAUGUAAGGCAACUCUCAGAGCCUUAGGAGCAAAAUUGCUGGGUCGGAGGAUGCAUGCUAUCUUCUCAUCUAAGGAUUCAAUAUUUUUUGCCAAUCGCAGGGGAGUGAAAUGGCUGGUGAUUGUCUUAAUUUGCAUUCCCUGAUUAACAAUGAGAUUAAGAAUUAUUUCAUACAUGAAUUUCUAUUUGUGUUUUUUUUCCCUGUGAAUUGUCUAUUCAUGUUUUGCCAUUUUUUUCCCUGUUGGUUUGUCUUUUCUGUGUAUCUGGAGUUCUGUCUUUGUUCUGGGUAUUAAUCCUUUGGCAGGUGAACCCACUGCAAGUAUCUCCAGGUCUGUGGGUGCAUUUCACUUACCUAGGUCCUUUGAUGUGUGUCCAUUUUAACUGUAAUGUGAUCGGUAGAUGAGCCUCUUCCUGUAAGGAUUUAUAUUCAUUUGGGAUAAGAGAUCUUUCCCUGUCUUAAAGACAUUAAGGUGGUCUGUUAGAUUUUUCUUUAAACAUUUGCAAGUUUUGCCUUAGGUCUUGAAUUCAUUGGAAUUUAUUUCCUGCAAGUUGGUGGAUGGGGCUGAGCUUUUCUUCUGUGGGUAACUAAGCCAGCUCCAUUUAUGGACACCCAUUCUCUACCCCCUGGCCUGCAAAGUCGACACUGCCAUGUCUGUGUUUCCAGAAAUUUCUAGGUCUCUUUUAGGCUGCUCUUCUAGUCCCCUGGUCCAUCCAUCCAUCCCCACAUCAACGCCGAAUUGGCCGAAUUCCGAGGCCUUUAUAGUGGGUCUCCUCCCUGUUAUUCUUCCCAGGUGUCAUAGCUGUUCUUGAUCCUUGGGAAUUUUGAUUUUUAAAAAUCUUUUUUUCUUAAUUCCCUGACUAACGUAUUCUUAUAACAGAAAACGGAGGUAAGUUUGGGGUUAAUAAAACAGAUUAUAAACAUCAGUCUAAA